CCCUUAGAUGUCCUGGGCCGCACGCGCGCUACACUGAGUGUCUGAGAUACGAGUCUGCCUGGUCCGGCAAGGUCUAGGUAAUCGCUAAAAGACACAUCAUGCUUGGGAUAGAUUAUUGCAAAUAUUAAUCUUGAACGAGGAAUUCCUAGUAAGCGCAAGUCAACAGCUUGCGUUUAUUACGUCCCUGCCCUUUGUACACACCGCCCGUCGCUACUACUGAUUGGAUGUUUAAGCGAGGUUCUCGAACUGCUAGCGACUUAGCUUCGGUGAGGUCGCAGUGUGGGAAGUGAACCUAGCUUUGGUGUCUAGAGGAAGUAAAAGUCGUAACA
rnacentral:rRNA from 1 species